rnacentral:rRNA from 1 species
AUUGAACGCUGGCGGCAGGCUUAACACAUGCAAGUCGAACGAGUGGCGGACGGGUGAGUAAUGUCUCGGAACGUGCCCGAUGGCGGGGGAUAACUACUGGAAAGGGUAGCUAAUACCGCAUACUAUUGGAUGUGCCCAUAUGGGAUUAGCUAGUUGGUGGGGUAACGGCUCACCAAGGCAACGAUCCCUAGCUGGUUUGAGAGGACGACCAGCCACACUGGGACUGAGACACGGCCCAGACUCCUACGGGAGGCAGCAGUGGGGAAUUUUGGACAAUGGGGGCAAGCCUGAUGCAGCCAUGCCGCGUGUAUGAAGAAGGCCUUCGGGUUGUAAAGUACUUUUGGCAGGGAGGCGGUACCUGCAGAAUAAGCACCGGCUAACUCCGUGCCAGCAGCCGCGGUAAUAC